rnacentral:rRNA from 1 species
GGGCCCGCACAAGCGGUGGAGCAUGUGGUUUAAUUCGAUGAUACGCGGAGGAACCUUACCAGGGCUUAAAUGUAGUGGGACAGGUCUAGAGAUAGACCCUUCUUCGGACUCAUUACAAGGUGCUGCAUGGUUGUCGUCAGCUCGUGCCGUGAGGUGUCAGGUUAAGUCCUAUAACGAGCGCAACCCCUGUCGUUAGUUGCCAGCAAGUUAAGUUGGGCACUCUAACAAGACUGCCGGUGCAAACCGUGAGGAAGGUGGGGAUGACGUCAAAUCAUCACGGCCCUUACGUCCUGGGCUACACACGUGCUACAAUGGUCGGUACAGAGAGCAGCCACUACGCGAGUAGGAGCG